GCUAGGCAGCUCAGUCGGUAGAGUGUGAGACGCAUCUCAGGGUUGUGGGUUCGAGACCCACGUCGCAUUGCA